AUUAAACUUGGCUUUGCCCUAUUUCCCCCUCUUCUUUCACUCCCCUGCUCUUUGCUGGCAUUAUCUGGGCUGCUUGGGCCUCAGCAAACAACCAAGUAGCCAAAAUAUGGGCAGGAUUCACGCCAUAACCAAACCAGCCAAUGAAUGAAAUAAGGCACUUGUUUCCUGGAGCAGAGGGAGGGGCAGCAGGGGGAUUUAAGCAUUUCUGUGUGGUGUUGGAAACCCACCUGGAGUAGAAGCAGUCCCUCAGCUCACACAAACCACCGGCGCUCCUCUGACGUCAAUUGGCAGCCGCUGGCCUGCACCAUCCCGGGGCUGGCUGCAGCAGCACGAGCAAACAGCUCGCCCGGCCAGCGGGACGCAGGGCGAGAGGCAAGCUGGAGUCCUGCACCCCUUCCCUCCGCCUCACUGCUUUCCAGCAUCCCCCACAGCUUUGUUUUCAGGGGCAGAAGGGCGCAGACCAGCUCCGGCAGGCAUGUCUCGGGCAAGCGGCACGUCGGCUGGCAAUGGACUCCAGGCCUGAAGAGAAUGGGAGCAGGAGGAACUUGACUCCUCUCAGGGUGGUUCCUGCAGCACACAGUGGGAGGAAAAGAAGGCAGCAGCUGUUCAGCUCCUUCCCUGCCCUCCCUACACCAGGUUCCAUCCCACAGCCACCCAUUCCAGCCCAUCCCAGCCCUGACUGCAUCCCACAGGGGACACAGGGAGAGCUGCACCACAAGAACUGUGUCCCAUCACUGCUCGUGGAGCUUGGCAGCCCUCGGUUUUGGGGGGAUGCUGCUGAGCCAGCAGUGGCAGGAUGAGGCUGGCUGUAGCCUGGGGAGCCUCUGGGGGCCACGCACAGCUGCGUUCCUGGACUGCAUUUUUCACCAAUGGCAGAGCAACCCACUCCCUUUUUCCCACCUGAAAGGCCUUCAAAGACCUCGACUUCCAGAGUAGGAGGUAGCUACAGCCCCUGUAAACCAGGCCAGCUGAAGCUGCCCUGAGAGGAACCCACAAUGAAGGCAGCCAGAAUUGCUGAUUGCCUCUGAAAAUAAGGGCAUCAGAGACCUUUAACUCCCAUAUCUCCUUC
rnacentral:lncRNA from 1 species